CUACUUGCCACACGGUAAGAAACUCUUCCUGAUGACAGAAGGGUAUGAAGAUUUGUAAUAGCUUGAAUUUUAAGUGUCUUAUGUCUACGCUGGAUAGAAGAAGAAUUAAGAGACUUAUUGAUUCGAGGAAGAUUUAGACCAGUCACUGAGGAGGAACUAGCAGGAAGAGAUUUUCAAGGCAGGUCCUUGGGCUGUGUGUGGCAAUUGGGCACGUACCUGUUGGAAAUGCUUCAGGCAGAGAGCAACCUGUCUGUAGAGCCCCGGUACAGCAGGGUGCUGGCCUGAAACCAAUGUUCUGUGGGACUGGAGCCAGAAACAGGAUCAGGGUUGCAGGAAGAACCCUGAAAAGAAAGGCUCUUCUUUCAGGUAAUCAUUAAGGUUGGAAAACGCCUCUAAGAUCAUCUAGUCCAACCAUCAAAUCAGUUUUGGUCUUAGGUGUACAAAUGCCUCAAGUUCCCUCAGCAUGGCUUGGGUGCUGCAGAUCUGAGACUAAAUAUUGACAUAUUGGAUGAUAUAUAUAGGAAUGCCCCAGCCAUACUGGAGGGGUGACAUUGUUUUCUUUAAAACUCUAUCACUGUCUGGGUAUUAGUUUAUUUUUCCUGGGAAAAAUAUAGUGUAUAUAUUCACACACACAUAUAUAUAUGUAUUAGUGAACAAAGAAGACAUCUAAUGGAUAACAUCUAUCUAAUGGAUAAAAUCUACCUAAUGGGUCUUAUGAGAUCGAAUGAAUCUUAUCCAUUCCUGUAUGAGGAAGUCUGAGAGACCUGGGACUGUUUAGCCUGGAGAAGAGAAGGCUGAGAGAGGAUCUCAUCACUGUUUGUAAACAUCUAAAGUGAGAGGAAUCAAGUCAGUGGGGUGGACUCCUUUUGGUGGUGAGCAGCAAUAAAACAAGGGGUAAUGGGCAGAAACGAGAACACAGGAAGUUCCACAAUAACACAAGGAGGAACUUCUUUACCGUCAGAAUGACAGAGCACUGGAACUGCCCAGUUCAGGCUGCCCAGAGAGGUUGUGGAGUCUCCUUCUCAGGAGAUAUUCAAGAUCCAUCUGGACACCUACCUGUGCAACCUGCUGUAGAGAACCUGCUUUAACAGGGCUUGACUUGAUGAUCUCUAGAAGUCCCUUCCAACCCCUAUAAUUCUGUUUGAUUUCCAUGUGAUUUUUAGUGCAACAGAUCUGGAGCCAUGUUUGUGCAAAGUUUUUCAACUAUUUUCUUACUCACGCAAUAGUUUUGCCAUAAAAUUUUUGGUGCCCUAAGGUCAUGGAGAACAAAUGAUUGCAUUUGAUGAUCAGAAGGCUGGAGUAUCUCCCCUAUGAAGACAGUCUGAAGGAGCUGAGUUUGUUCAGCCUGGAGAAGAAAAGGCUGUAGGGAGACCUCAUUGCAGCUUUCUAACAUUUAAAGGGAGAUUAUAAACAGGAGAAAAAUCAACUUUUUACAGUGAUAGGAAUGGUUUUAAACUAAAGGAGUGAAGCUUUAGAUUAGAUGUCAGAGGGAAGUUUUGCACAGAGAGGGCGGUGAGGCCCUGGCAGCGGUUGCCCCGAGAAGCUGUGGAUGCCCAUCCCUGGAGGUGUUCAAGGCCGGGUUGGUUGGGGCUCUGGACAGCCUAAUCCAGUGCCUGAUAUAGUAGUUGACAACCCUGUCCACGGCAAGGGGUUAGAACUAGAUGAUCUCUGAGGGCCUUUCCAAACCAAGCCAUUCUAUGAGUUGUUUAAUUUCUUCCUCCCUUCCCAUUUUCCAAGCAAACAAACAGCUUGCUUUCUCUGCAGGCUGAUUAAAAUGGGUUUUUGACUAGACAGCCUUACGGGGAUUGUAUUUUCUCUGAAUGGACUUGUGUGUGAAGAACACAGAUGAGUCACUGGUGAAAUAAUCCAAUGGGUGGAGGAUGAUGAAUCGGCUAACACUGAAAUGUCGUGUUUCAUUCCUCUGCUAAGAUACCAGCAGCGAGUUGUGCUGGUUUUCAGUGGGAAAUCAUUUGAGAGCCACAACAAGUGAAGAAGUGGUGAAGGGCAGAGCAUCUUGCCCAGAGCAUUGCUGUCCAAAGAAGCUGUGGGUGCACCAUCCCUGGAGGCACUCAAGGCAGGUUGAAUGGGGCCCUGGGUGGCACUGUCCAUGCAGGGGGUUGGAACUGGAUGAUCUUUGAGGUCCCUUCCAACCCAAGCCGUUCUAUGACUCUGUUCUGAUUCUUGCUGUCCUGCUUGCAUGUGAGUCCUGGAUAGGCACAAACAUAGGAGGAGAGAGAUGGAUUCUUCCCCUUGUCUCGAGUUAGAAUCAUUGAGGCUUUGCAGACCCAUCCACAGUCUCUCUGUGCAUCACUUUGACUUUUGUCAGCUCUUUAUGCAUAAAAGGGUGAUUUCUAAUGGUUCCCCAGGUGCUGCACAGGAAGAGGAAGGGAUUUCCCAUGAGGAUAUGUUUGUUGCUUUCACCACUCGGGCAUUCAGCUCUGCUGGCACAUGUGUGAUAGUUAGUGCUGUGUUUCAGCUGUUCAUUAGUGGUUACUGUUGGUGAUUGCUGCAGCCAGGAGCCAGGUGGCUGCAAGGGCUGGUGGACCACGAGAUGUCACUGCAGGCUCAGCCCCAGCCACAGAAUCCCCUUCAUUUGCAAAGCAUCUGAAAAUCUAGCAGUCAGUGCUCAUUAGCACCAAGGGGGGGAAAGUG
rnacentral:lncRNA from 1 species